rnacentral:rRNA from 1 species
GAUGAACGCUGGCGGCGUGCCUAAUACAUGCAAGUCGAGCGAACAGACGAGGAGCUUGCUCCUCUGAUGUUAGCGGCGGACGGGUGAGUAACACGUGGAUAACCUACCUAUAAGACUGGGAUAACUUCGGGAAACCGGAGCUAAUACCGGAUAACAUGUUGAACCGCAUGGUUCAACAGUGAAAGACGGUCUUGCUGUCACUUAUAGAUGGAUCCGCGCCGCAUUAGCUAGUUGGUAAGGUAACGGCUUACCAAGGCAACGAUGCGUAGCCGACCUGAGAGGGUGAUCGGCCACACUGGAACUGAGACACGGUCCAGACUCCUACGGGAGGCAGCAGUAGGGAAUCUUCCGCAAUGGGCGAAAGCCUGACGGAGCAACGCCGCGUGAGUGAAGAAGGUCUUCGGAUCGUAAAACUCUGUUAUUAGGGAAGAACAAAUGUGUAAGUGACUAUGCACGUCUUGACGGUACCUAAUCAGAAAGCCACGGCUAACUACGUG